CCUACGGGAGGCUGCAGUGAGGAAUAUUGGUCAAUGGGCGCGAGCCUGAACCAGCCAAGUAGCGUGAAGGAUGACUGCCCUCCGGGUUGUAAACUUCUUUUAUAAAGGAAUAAAGUGAGGCACGUGUGCCUUUUUGUAUGUCCUUUAUGAAUCAGGCACGGCUAACUCCGUGCCAGCAGCCGCGGUAAUAUGGAGGAUCCGAGCGUUAUCCGGAUUUAUUGGGUUUAAAGGGAGCGUAGAUGGGUUGUUAAGUCAGUUGUGAAAGUUUGCGGCUCAACCGUAAAAUUGCAAUUGAUACUGGCAGUCUUGAGUACAGUUGAGGUAGGCGGAAUUCGUGGUGUAGCGGUGAAAUGCUUAGAUAUCACGAAGAACUCCGAUUGCGAAGGCAGCUUACUAAACUGCCACUGACAUUGAGGCUCGAAAGUGUGGGUAGCAAACAGGAUUAGAUACCCCGGUAGUC
rnacentral:rRNA from 1 species